rnacentral:rRNA from 1 species
UGAAUUGCAGAAUUCAGUGAAUCAUCGAAUCUUUGAACGCAAAUGGCGCUCUUGGGUUCUCCCAGGAGCAUGUCUGUCUGAGUGUCGGAUAUCAUCCAACGCACGCCAGCGUGCGGAAUUGAGGCGUCACGGUCCGUACUGCACGGACCGUGUCCCUUGAAAGUCAGAGAGACUCGCCGCGUCGCGGGAAGAUUCCCCGUGCACACCAGCGGAGGCUAAAAUGUCUUUUGUCCUUCGCGUGCCGGGAAGUCGCCGUGUGCGGCGGUCGUCGUCGGGCGAACUUUAAUUAUCUUGACCUCAGAUCAGGCAAGGCUACCCGCUGAAUUUAAGCAUAUUAAUAAGCGGAGGAAAAGAAACUAACAAGGAUUCCCUCAGUAACGGCGAGUGAAGCGGGACCAGCUCAAAUUUGAAAUCUCCGAUGCCUGCAUCGGCGAGUUGUAGUUGCGAGAAGCACUUUCUAGGUGGAUCGGUCGUGCCUAAGUUGCUUGGAACAGCACGUCGCAGAGGGUGACAACCCCGUCUGUGGCGCGGCCGGCCGCCGACGAUGUGCUUUCGAAGAGUC